AACGAACGCUGGCGGCAGGCCUAACACAUGCAAGUCGAGCGAGCAUUUCGUUGCUUGCGGCGGUCGUGUGAGUGCCGCCUGGGAACGUGCCCUUUUCUGCGGUAUCGUCCUGUGUAGGUGGGGGUCAUACCGCAUACGCUCUUUUGGGAUAAGAUUUCUCGGGGCAGGUUCGGCCUGCGUUGGAUUAGGUAGUUGGUGGGGGAAUCGCCCCCCAUCCCGUCGUUCCAUAGCUGUUAUGGGAGGAUGAUCUGCCACGCUGGCGCUGAGACACGGACCAGACUCCGACGGAAGGGAGCAGUGGGGAAUCUUAGACGAGGGGGGCAACCCUGAUCUAGCCAUGCCGCGGGAGUAAUGAAGGCCUUAGGGUAGUAAAGCUCUUUCAGCUGGGAAGAUAAUGACGGUACCAGCAGAAGAAGCCCCGGCUAACUCCGUG
rnacentral:rRNA from 1 species